CUCACACACACCUGUCUCACACACAGCUCUCACACACACCUGUCUCACACAGCUAUCUCACACACAGCUAUCUCACACGCACCUAUCUCACACACACCUGUCUCACACACACCUAUCUCACACACAGCUAUCUCACACACAGCUCUCACACACACCUCUCUCACACACACCUGUCUUACACACAGCUCUCACACACACCUGUCUUACACACAGCUCUCACACACACCUGUCUUACACACAGCUAUCUCACACACACCUCUCACACACACCUGUCUCUCACACACACCUGUCUCUCACACACACCUGUCUCUCACACACACCUGUCUCACACACACCUGUCUCACACACACCUGCGGACUGUAGGGCCUGAGUUAGAGCAUGGACCAGAAGAAGCUCAUAAAAAUAUAAUUCUUAAUAAAGUAGGGCUGAGGGGGACGCAACUAAAGGGUUAAAUAAGAUUCUCUCUCUUAGCUUCCUCUAUAUAGUAACCUGAAGGUAGUGGACAGGACAGCAGCUUCCUCUAUAUAGUAACCUGAAGGUAGUGGACAGGACAGCAGCUUCCUCUAUAUAGUAUCCUGAAGACAGUGGACAGGACAGCAGCUUCCUCUAUAUAGUAACCUGAAGGUAGUGGACAGGACAGCAGCUUCCUCUAUAUAGUAACCUGAAGGUAGUGGACAGGAGAGCAACUUCCUCUAUAUAGUAACCGGAAGGUAGUGGACAGGACAGGAGCUUCAUCUAUAUAGUAACCUGAAGGUAGUGGACAGGACAGGAGCUUCCUCUAUAUAGUAACCUGAAGGUAGUGGACAGGACAGGAGCUUCCUCUAUAUAGUAACCUGAAGGUAGUGGACAGGACUGCAGCUUCCUCUAUAUAGUAACCUGAAGGCAGUGGACAG
ensembl:lncRNA